GACGUACGCUGGCGGCGUGCUUAACACAUGCAAGUCGAACGGAAAGGCCCUGCUUUUGUGGGGUGCUCGAGUGGCGAACGGGUGAGUAACACGUGAGUAACCUGCCCUUGACUUUGGGAUAACUUCAGGAAACUGGGGCUAAUACCGGAUAGGAGCUCCUGCUGCAUGGUGGGGGUUGGAAAGUUUCGGCGGUUGGGGAUGGACUCGCGGCUUAUCAGCUUGUUGGUGGGGUAGUGGCUUACCAAGGCUUUGACGGGUAGCCGGCCUGAGAGGGUGACCGGCCACAUUGGGACUGAGAUACGGCCCAGACUCCUACGGGAGGCAGCAGUGGGGAAUAUUGCACAAUGGGCGGAAGCCUGAUGCAGCAACGCCGCGUGCGGGAUGACGGCCUUCGGGUUGUAAGCCGCUUUCGCCUGUGACGAAGCGUGAGUGACGGUAAUGGGUAAAGAAGCACCGGCUAACUACGUG
rnacentral:rRNA from 1 species